rnacentral:lncRNA from 1 species
CCUACCAAAACACUUUUUUGGAUCUUGAUUCUCUAAUAAUAUCUCUUUUAUAGUGGAUCUUUCUUCUCCAGCGGAUCCAUAUUCUCUGGAAGAUCUAACUUAUCCCAUCGUAAGAUCAUUAUGAGAAAAUGGGUGGAUAAAAAUGAGCAACUCUACCAUUUGCAUAGACCAAUCCUUGACCUCGAUCGAAUACCCAACUCGAAAGCCCUUUUUCGCUCUAUAAAUGCAAUAAGGUCUUGGAGAAAUGGAAAUGAAUAAGGUCUAAAUGCGCAUGGAAUUGCUUAAUAAGUGAGCGUAUAAGUAGUUCUCACGCGAUCAGAGAGGCUUCCUACUGUCUCGGGGAAAAGGUAAGACUUUCUAAGUGAAGUUCAGAGACAGAAGUGGUCAAGGAAAGGAGCUUGAUUGGGAAAAGGCAAAAACCCCUUCCUUAUUAUAGAAGGUUCAUUCCAUAUUGAACAAGUAAUGGAAUUGGCUAGGGAAAGGCAAGACGGCAGCACAAAAAAGCCCAAAAGAAAGGUUACAGUUAGCUGCAAGGGAUGAGCGUUAGAAGCAUGCUCAGGUAUAGGUUUGGAAAAAGUGUUUUGUAUGAGCCCUUUCAUCGAGUCCCUCUUCUUUAAUAGGCGCGCACUUUCUUGCUUGUAGAAUUGUUCUUUGUUUAUAUAUGGCUAUUUUCGAAUUGAUAAUAUUAUUGCCUAUUUGUCGGACUGGAAAAACAAACACCCGCCAUACCCUAUCAUUCACUUACUAUAGGCCGAGGAGCUUACUUUUGUGGAAAAAGAUACAUACCCACCAGAGGAGAAGGAAGACCAGAAAAAGAUGGAGCCGCUACGGGAGAUGCUAGAAGAAAAGAAGGAGGAAUUUCUUGGGAUAAAGAUAGUGAAAGAAUAGAUGGAGUUAGUGCUUGCUAUGCUGUGGUCCGAAUUAGUCUUUCCAAAUUCAUUCUUUGCUUUGAGCCGGAUCCACAAAGGCAUUGAAUGGCCAAGAGUCACACUUUUCCUCUAUUCGGCAUAUAAGGCAUAUGUUGGCAUAGUAGAUAUAUAGGAAGUUGCAUAUGAUAGAAUGGUUUGGUGGUAGAGAUACUACAAAUGGUAAGAGAUCUAGGCAUCUAAGAACGGUGAGUCGGGUUAUUAGAGUGAUAGUAUGGGGGCGGUUCAGUAAACAGAUCAAAGCCUUAUAUCUAUGCACGCGCUUUGAAAAGUUUGGAGAAAAGAGAAAAGUUUGGAGAUCAGAGAAAAGAGUGGAUUCCUAAAUACAAAAUGCCAGGCGCCUUGUCUGGGAAAUGGCAAACCACGGAAUUCUGCCAACCGUUUUCGAAAUCCAAGCCAAGGGAAACUCCAGGAAUAGAGGUAACCGAAAGAAGACCGAGCUCUUGGGAAUCUUUUGGUAUUUAGCCAUUGCCUUUGUCAAGGUCCUUUGCUCGGCCUUUUGUGUCUCGCCUUUGGUUAUAUACCAACUAACCCACCUUUAUUCUCAUGAUUCAUAGGAUUCGGCUUCGUAUGAAAGGGCGAGGAUCUGAGGAUGUAGAUCUUGGUCGAAAACUCGUUUCUAUGGAAAUUCUCCGUUGGUUCCACCUUGUAAGUGGACUCUAGCCCAGCCCAUUAAUCUGUCUUAAGAGGCAACCAACCCCGAAGUGAUAGAAAAGACUGUUCAAGGGAGAUGCUUGUCCGGAAAGAGUGAAAGGAGCUGCACCAAGACCCUGAAAUCACUGGAUAGAUUAGUCGGGGAUCGAAGCUGUCAUAAAGAGAUUCAUGGGUACGCUUCUCUUGCUCUCUCAUACGCCGGGAAGGUUAUUAGGUCUUAUUAGGGCUGGCCUUCAUGGUGCAGUCCAAGGGAAUAGUCAAUACAAGUAGCUUAGUUCUUUCUAUUGCCAUUUGUCACUAUCGGCGUAAGACGGGAACAACUCUAGAACUACAGUACAACAGAGGUAGAAAUCAGAAUGGGAAAGGGGACAAAGACUACUCGUUGAAAGCAAGGUGCUAAGAGCCUAGGAAUCCGUCCGAUCUAAAAAGAAUAGGAGAUGGCUUAACGAUCUCAAAAGAAUGGGAGAGCGUAAAGAGAGUGAUGUGAAAUAGAACGCGGAUAAUGCACAUCCAUCUUUUCCUACGCUCGUAGAGAGAUGGGGAAAGGUGAGAUAAGAGGUAAGUCCGUAUUUAUUCUGCUCUUAUUCCUUUCUUUACAAGUAGGAUUGAUUGUUUGACCCUUGACUGUAACAACAAAAAGAAUCAUGCUACUCUGGGGUAUUUGACUUUAUGGCUUCAUCACUUGCUAUAGAGUUGGCCUUCUUUCAGUUUCUAUAUAUCCUUCUUUCAGUUUCUAUAUAUAUAUAGGAAAGGGUGAAUUCUAACGCUUGGACUCUUAAGGGUGAAUUCUAACGCUUGGACUCUUGUAAAAGAUUGUAACGGUUCAAUAAGGAUAAAGAAGGGAAGAUAAUAAACUAAGGAAGGAUUUCAUAUGCUUUGCUUAACAAAGAAAGAAAGCUUCCAAUCCAUUUCAUUCCCAGGGAAUAACGUAAGUCAGUGAAAAAAGGAAAGAAAACAUACCAAUCAAAAGUCGCUCUUAAAAGUACGGAUCGUUGUGGCCUUAAUCAAAUUCCAGUGGCCCACCCCCUAUCAAUACAUUCAAACCUUUCAAAACCAGCCUAGAGAAACCCUUCCUUCAUUCUCGUUGUAGAGAUUUCUUAUCUGUGAGAGAGCUUCUAUUCAGGGCGGAAGAAAUGGGAAAUGGCUUAGCAUAGCUGCGCUAGGAGAGCACACGGGGAGGAUUCAUCCAUCGAAUGCAACAGGGAAUUCGGGUUGUAGGGAUAAGACAGAAGCCACGGAAAUAGUGCCUAGUCCCUGUCCGAAGUGCCACUCCGCUCUAAGUAAAGUUCUGACAGCUCACACAUCUAGAAAUCCAAAUAUCCACGACUGUCUUAUGUUUAUGUUGAAGAAGAAGGUUAGCUUCAUAGCGGAAACCCAUCAAAGCAAAGGCAGAACGAAAGGUAAUCACUAAACCUCUGUAUAGGCGUGUCGAUUGGGCGGGAGAGGAAGAGCGAGAUGAUCGGCUACGAAAAAGGCUAUGUUUCACCGUCUUUUGGGGUCGUCUAGGAAGGGAAUAUGAGAAAUAACCACAUUUGGUUAGUCCAAACAAAGUCCACUGGAGUGAUCAGUAUAUGUAUAGGGAGGUUCUAUCUCUGUAUCGAGAAAGGCCUCUCUUUUUGGGGUGUAUAAACUCAAAGGGAAAUCAAUCCAAUUAUAAGAAGGGAAAUCAAUCCAAUUAGAAGAAAGAAUAGGAGGCACAUGCGGUUCACACGAUAUCUUGAAAGAUGGGAAGGAGCAACAAAGGCAAUAGGAUUUUGGAUUUGGAAGCUUUCUCACUUCCUGGAAUAGAAGGGAAAUGAGAUAACUCAACGGAAAGUGGAACGUCCAGCACCAAAGGCUCAGCAGAAGUAAGCUUUCUCAGCUCCGUUAGAAGAUGAUAUUAGUCAGAUUUGGAUAUCUGCGGGCUGAAUAAGAUGAACUAGUUCGAAGUUUGCCUCAGUAGGAAGAAGCUUUAAUCCAGAACGUUGUCACUAACGGGUAACUCAAGAACGGUUUACUGGGGUAGAUCCUAACCUUAUAGCUCAAAGCUUCGCCCUGACAUUCGAAUUCUACCCGUCGGGUCGUCUCCAAAGCCUUUAAGUCGGGUCUUUCUAUACGAGAAAAUGGGAAUCACCUACCUCUUAUGGCACAACAAAGACUUCUACUCGCCCCCCUCAUCUAGAAAGGAAGGGU